GCGGAAGAAGGAAAGAGAGAAAGAGAAACAAAAGUAAUAAACAGAUUAUCCGAUCGAUACAAGCAACAUUUUUAACAUUAGCAUAUUUAAUUAUGUUAAUGAAAUUCAAUUAUAAUUCACUCUGGAACGACACUUUGUUAUGUAUCCUUGAUGGCUUCUCCAUGCUAAACGAAAAAAAUAAACCGAAUAAAGAAUGAAGAAGAAAGAAAUGGGAGAAAGAAAGAGAAGAUGAAAGUAAAAAGAGAAAGAAGCAUUUGUUCAAAUAUGAUCGUUUGUAUGCAGUGUUAUUCUUUACCUGACGGCGACGCUCCCCUGGCUGCUACAAUAAAUCAGGAAUCAUAAAUGAUUGUAAUUAACAGAUGAUCAAUUUAAGGCAGGGAUACAGCAUGGUGUAUAGCCAUUAGGUUGUAUCUCAAUACUGAUCUUUAUAAUUAAAUGAUAUAACCAAUUUAAGAAGAGUGAAACAUUUAUGUCUUAUUUUUAUACUCACGAUGGAGGAAACAGUCGUAUUUGAAGCAUCUUCUGCAAAAUAACGUAUGGAAAGAAUGCAUUGUUUGUUCUCUAGGUACACUCUUUGCAUUCACUCCAUCAAUAUUCGGUGUACAUUCUGGAGGUAAGAUAUUGGGAUCCGAUCUUUCCGUUAAU